CUGAGCCAUGCCCCGCUUCCAGGAAAAGCCUCUAAGCUUCAGAUCACACUGGACCGUACCGUAAACCGACACUGGUGGGUGAGCAGAUAAUCUGCCAAGGCGCUUGAGAGAACUCGGGUUAAGGAACUCUGCAAAUUGAUACCGUAACUUCGGAAGAAGGUAUGCCUUCGACGGUGUAGGGAUUUACUCCCGAAGCUGUUGAAGGUCGCAGGUAAUCGGUGGCUGCGACUGUUUAUCAAAAACACAGGACUCUGCGAACACGCAAGUGGAAGUAUAGGGUCUGACGCCUGCCCGGUGCCGGAAGGUUAAUUGAUGGGGUUAGCCGCAAGGCGAAGCUCUUGAUCGAAGCCCCGGUAAACGGCGGCCGUAACAAUAACGGUCCUAAGGUAGCGAAAUUCCUUGUCGGGUAAGUUCCGACCUGCACGAAUGGCGUAACGCUGGCCACACUGUCCCGACCCGAGACUCAGUGAAGUUGAAAUCGCUGUGAAGAUGCGGCGUUCCCGCGGCAAGACGGAAAGACCCCGUGAACCUUCACUACAGCUUUACAUUGAACUUUGAAUCUUCCUGUGUAGCAUAGGUGGGAGGCUUUGAAGCCUGGGCGCUAGCUCAGGUGGAGCCAACGUUGAAAUACCACCCUGGGAUAUUCGGAGUUCUAACCUUGGUCCGUAAUCCGGAUUGGGGACAAUGUAUGGUGGGUAGUUUGACUGGGGCGGUCUCCUCCCAAAGAGUAACGGAGAGUGCAAUGGUACGCUCAGCGCGGUCGGUCAUCGCGCUCUAGAGUGCAAAGGCAUAAGCGUGCUUAACUGUGAGACAGACACGUCGAACAGGUACGAAAGUAGGUCUUAGUGAUCCGGUGGUUCUGUAUGGAAGGGCCAUCGCUCAACGGAUAAAAGGUACUCCGGGGAUAACAGGCUUAUUCCUCCCAAGAGUCCACAUCGACGGAGGAGUUUGGCACCUCGAUGUCGGCUCAUCACAUCCUGGGGCUGUAGCAGGUCCCAAGGGUAUGGCUGUUCGCCAUUUAAAGUGGUACGCGAGCUGGGUUCAGAACGUCGUGAGACAGUUCGGUCCCUAUCUGCCGUGGGCGUUGGAAACUUGAGGGUGAGCUGUCCUUAGUACGAGAGGACCGGGAUGGACGUAUCUCUGGUGUUCCGGUUGUCACGCCAGUGGCACUGCCGGGUAGCUAUAUACGGACGGGAUAAGCGCUGAAAGCAUCUAAGCGCGAAGCCCCCCCCAAGAUUAGGUUUCCCUGGGAACUCGAUUCCCCUAAAGGGCCGUCGGAGACUACGACGUUGAUAGGCUGGGUGUGUAAGUGCAGCAAUGCAUUGAGCUAACCAGUACUAAUUGCCCGUGAGGCUUGACCU
rnacentral:rRNA from 1 species